rnacentral:rRNA from 1 species
AUGUUACCUAAGAAGAAGCAAUUGUCGGGUGCUGAAAAAAGGAGGAAAAAUAAAGAAAGUGAUCUGAAAAUUCUAGCACUGAAGGGUUCUUUGAAUAACUACUUUACAUCUUGAAGCAAUGUUGAUGUCAGUGAAGAAGAAGGGCAAGAAACUACUUCUGAGCAUGAAAAUCCAGAUGUUGAGGUGAAUGAAGAUGGUGCGAGCACAGAGGAGCAAAUAAAUUUUCAAGUUGAUGCUGACAGUAUAAUGGAGGAGGAAAAUUUGCAGCCUUCCUCUAAUGAUGAACAGGAAGAUUCCCUUUCAUUUAUUUUUGAUCCAAGAACAUGGGAAGUUCUUGACAAUAGCAGAAGGGAUAUUUUAAUUGAGAAGGGACCUAUUAGAGUACCGGGUCUGGAGUUCGAGAAGGACACCAUUGGUAGACACUUUUCAUAUGCUUUUUACUCCAGGAAGUUAAGUAAUGGUGAGUUUGUUGAUAGGAAGUGGUUGGUUUACCACAAAGGUGCAAACAAAGUAUAUUGUUUUUGUUGCAAGUUGUUCAAAUCAAAACUGAGCAAGUCUAUGCUGGCAUCUGAUGGAUUGAAUGACUGGAAGCGUUUGAGUGCGCGUCUCAAAGAUCAUGAGAACAGUGUUGACCAUUUAACAAACAUGAAUACAUGGAAUGAAGUUAGGUUGAGAUUAAGCAAAAAUCGGACAAUUGAUGAUGAUAUGCAAAGGGGGAUUGCAAAGGAGAAGGAGCGUUGGAGACAAGUUCUGGUAAGAAUAGUUUCAACUGUGAAGUUUCUUGCAAAACAUACUUUGGCUUUUCGUGGAUCAAAUGAGAAGUUGUAUCAAGAUAAUAAUGGUAAUUUUUUGGGCACGAUUGAAAUGAUUGCUGAAUUUGAUCCUGUUAUGCAAGAACACAUCCGGCGUAUUCAAAAUAGUCAAAUCCAUCAUCACUAUCUUGGCCACAAAAUCCAGAACGAGUUGAUCUCAGUCCUUGCUAAUGCCGUGAGAAAUGUAAUUUUAAAGAUCAUCAAAGAUGCCAAGUAUUUUUCAGUUAUUCUGGAUUGUACCCCGGAUGUGAGCCAUGAAGAACAAAUGACUCUCAUUGUGCGUUGUGUCAAUAUGUCAAGCAACCUUCCGAGAGUGGAGGAGUUUUCCCUAGAGUUCCUAAAGGUUGAGGACACAUCGGGUUCUACUAAAAGGUGGAAGAUUUUACUUGACAAUCUUCCAAAAGGAACAAAACUAACUCUCAAGCCUUUGUCCAGUACUCGUUGGGAGAGUCGAAUAAAGAGUGUGCAACCUAUCAGGCACCAAACUAUCCAUGUAAUUUCAGCUUUGAAGGAAUUGGAGGAGACUUCUACUGAUGACCUAGCAGCUGUAAGUGAUGCUCAAUCUUUGGUCAGUGCACUUGAGAAUUUUGAAACUUUAGUUGGCAUGGUUAUCUGGCAUGAUGUUUUGUUCUCUGUAAAUAUGGUGAGCCAAAAGUUGCAGGAAAAGAUGGUGUGCAUUGAUGCUACUAUAAAACACAUUGACGGGGUCAUAUUAUAUUUUAAGAAGUAUAGAGAUGAAGGCUUUCAAGCUAGUAUUGAGAUAGCAAAAGCCGUUGCAUCUGAUAUGGACAUAGAGCCAGAAUUUCCUUCAAAACGUCAACGGAAAAGAAAGAGGCAUCAUGAUGAAAUCAAUGAUCAAGAAGAAGAAAUACAAUUGUCAGCUAUGGAAUCCUUCAGAGUUAAUUACUUUCUAGUCAUCGUUGACAAUGCAGUUCUUUCAUUGACCAGUCGCUUUGAUCAGUUGAAGAAAUUUGAAAGGGUGUUUGGUUUCUUAUUCAAUUCAAAAAAUCUGAAGUCCUUGGAUGAUUGCAAACUACAGGAAUGUUGCACUACUUUUGCAAAAGCUUUUUCUGAUGAUAAAUUAUCUGAUGUUGAUCUUCAUGAUUUUGUCUCAGAGUUAAAAGUGUUGCAGGUAACUUUGCCAGAUGGUUUGAUGUCAGCGCUUGAGAUUCUCCAGUUUGUUAUGGCAGUAGAUUGCUAUCCAAAUGUUUCUAUUGCCUAUCGGAUCCUCUUAACAGUGCCUGCGACUGUAGCCUCAGCUGAAAGAAGUUUCUCUAAACUAGAACUACUGGAAAAUUAUUUGAGGUCAACUAUGUUGCAAGAUAGAUCGAAUGGCCUGGCUAUGUGCUGCAUUGAGAAGGAUAUCUUGGACAAUGUUGAUCUUGAUUGUGCCCUUAAUGACUUCGCAUCAAGAAAUGCCCGAAGAAACUUUUUUUGA